rnacentral:rRNA from 1 species
GGCUCAGAGAGAACGCUGGCGGCAGGUCUAAUACUUGCAAGUCGAACGCCGUAGCAAUACGGAGUGGCAGACGGGUGAGUAACGCGUGGGAAUCUUCCUAAUGGUACGGAAUAGCCCGGGGAAACCCGGAGUAAUACCGUAUACUCCCGUGAGGGGAAAGAUUUAUCGCCAUUAGAUGAGCCCGCGUCGGAUUAGCUAGUUGGUGGGGUAAUGGCCUACCAAGGCAACGAUCCGUAGCUGGUCUGAGAGGAUGAUCAGCCACAUUGGGACUGAGACACGGCCCAAACUCCUACGGGAGGCAGCAGUGGG